AGAAAAAGACCCCACUUCUCCAGCUAGCACACGAGACAACAACGGCGCUGUGCGGGUAAGUGGAGAGAGAAACCAGAGAGAGAGAGAGACGGCAUUAAUGGCGGAAGGAGAAAACCCGCGAAAACACAGCGACGAGAGCGUGAAGCUGUUCGUAGGUCAAGUGCCGAAGCACGUGACCGAAGAAGAACUCCUCGCAAUGUUCAAGGAGUUCGCUCUCGUCGACGAAGUCAACGUCAUCAAAGACAAGACCACGCGAGCUUCCCGAGGAUGUUGUUUCGUUAUAUGUCCGACUAGGCAAGAAGCUGAUAAGGCGGUGGAUGCGUGUCAUAAUAAGAGAACUCUCCCUGGGGCAUCUAGUCCUUUGCAAGUGAAGUAUGCAGAUGGCGAGUUGGAAAGGCUAGAACACAAACUUUUUGUUGGUAUGCUUCCAAAGAACGUUUCUGAUGCUGAGCUUUCUGCAAUAUUUUCUCAGUAUGGAAAUAUUACGGAUUUGCAAAUACUGAGAGGUUCUCAGCAAACAAGCAAAGGUUGUGCUUUUGUUAAGUAUGAGACAAAGGAACAAGCUCUUGGAGCAGUAGAAGCACUCAAUGGGAAACAUACAAUGGAGGGUUCAAGCGUUCCUUUAGUUGUCAAAAGGGCUGAUACAGAGAAAGAAAGACAAGCUCGGCGGGCACAGAAAGCUCAGUCACAGGCUUCUAAUAUGCCAAAUACUAACACUUCACUGCAUCCAUCUUUAUUUGGAUCCUUGGCUAUUCCUUACAGCCCCCCCUAUAGUGGUUAUGGCUAUCAGCCUCCUGGAACUUAUGGACUCAUGCAGUAUCGGCUGCCACAAAUGCAGAAUCAACCUGCUUUUCAAAACAUCAUACCGUCAGUAAACCAGGGGAAUGCAUUGCAUGGAGUCACACCCAAUCUCGGUCCUAGUAUACCCCCAAGAAACUAUGCUCUGCCACCAGCAAGGUAUGUUGGAUCUCCUUAUCCAGCAGUACCAGGGCUUCAGUAUCCUGUGGCAUAUCCUGGGGGAAUGAUGAGUAGCAGGCCUUUGAGACCUGCAAUUGUUAACAGUCCGUCUGCAGCAUCUUCAAGUGUCGGUAGAAGUUCUGGAGGUCAAGUUGAAGGUCCACCUGGGGCUAAUUUAUUCAUAUACCAUAUUCCUCAAGAAUUUGGUGAUCAAGAACUCGCAAAUGCUUUUCAUCCAUUUGGUGGAGUCUUGAGUGCUAAGGUCUUCAUCGACAAAGAAACCGGUGUUAGCAAAUGUUUUGGAUUUGUUAGUUAUGAUUCACCAGCAGCCGCUCAGUCUGCAAUUAAUACGAUGAAUGGCAGCCAGUUAGUUGGUAAAAAGUUGAAGGUGCAACUUAAAAGAGACAACAAACAGAAUAACCCUUACUGAUUCAGACUUCAGAGGUAAGCAACGGAUGGAAGGAGAUCCCUACCACGAAUGGCCAUUUGCACCCCGGAUCAGGAUGUGGGUAUUUCUGGAGAAUCAGCUAUUUUGUGGUGGGGUUGAGGCAAUUGUGCCUUCUGUGCACUACUUCAUCCUCCUUGUAGCUGACUCAAGGAAUUGAUGUCCCUCAAACUUGAUGUUGACACAGGAGUGAAGCAUUAAUCUCUCUUUUUGGACAUUUCAAGUUCACUUCACUUGCAAAUUGCCAUGGCAUGUGGACAUGGUCGUGGCUGUGGGAAAAGAGUUCUCCCAAGACGGUGCAGUUGUAUUUCUCUCCUUGUGUUGUUACAUUGGAGUGGUUUACAUAUUUACAUUAUUCCGGAUUGUGCAUUGAUGUGUUUUGUGGUAUUAAGUGCAACCAUUUUGCACUGAAGAGUUUGUAACUGGUGUCCAACUUGGGGUCGACUCAUCUUGAUGAAGGUGUCACUUUAGAAAGCCACACCCCAUUUUGGAGUGCCGAUUUUAGAUGGUUUCUGAAUAAAAGAGAUGGAUUGAUGCAUUCUUCUAGCAUUUAAGGUUGAAAAGGGUGCUAGUUACUAAGUUGGCACUUAAAUUCUUGUUUUAUGAGUAACAAUCAUUACACUUCUCCUUGCAUCUUGAUAAGUAUGUAUUCUUGUUGCCUUGAGAACUUGUGAUGGAGUUGUGAAGGAGUUACUUGCUCAAUCUCAAUUGCCCUGCUGAUUGGCUUAUUGCUAGUAAUGAAACAUCAAGUGAUUGUCAAUCCCUUGAUUUGAAAUCAAGUUAUAUUACGGAAUUACGCAUAUUGAGCUUGUCAAGUGCCUCAAGCCCAUAAAAUGAUCCGUAGGGAAUCUCAAGUCAUUGGCCUAUCGAUCCAAUCAAAUGGUAUUAAGGUUAUUUUAGCUCUACUUCUUUAAUUGUCUCCAUGCUAUUAUUGACUAGCUUUGGGAAGUUUUCUUUUAGCCAAAAGUCUUAAUGAGGGUCGAUAAAGUGAAGAUAAGAACGUCAAGGUCACCUCCAUAGUAGGAACGGGUAAACCUGUUAUUGAACUAUUUUCUGUGAUUCUUUAUUGUAUGGAACAACCUGUGCUGAAUACUGGUGGAUGAAGCCAAAGUGCCCGAUUCUUUGCUCCAGACGUUGGUAUGCUCCUCCCUCCCCACCUAGUAGCAACAAGCAAUUACCCUCAGAGAAUGGAAGAUAUAUCCUGAACAAUCUAUCGAGCCCUGUGCUUGACAUUUCUAAUGAAAAAAGGCAGAUGAGGUCCUUUGAGAAGAUUUUUUCUGUUCUGGUAAUUAUGCAUGUAUGUUGUCCCUUGCCUGUUGAUGCAUAAGUUUGUAAUCUCCUUCUUGGCAGUGUUUAUGAUAAAAGCUUGUCACCUGUUUAGUGGUUACAUGAACCUCUCUCUCUAUAUGUUUUUCAGAAAAAGAGAGCCAGGGAAAAAAAUUCAUCAAGAUAGGAAACACGUGUUCUUUUUCUUUGAUAUAUUAUUUGGCAGUUGUCAAUUCUUGUUCACAUUUUAAAGCUCAAGUGCAGUGUUAAUUGCAUUUUUUAUUUUUUGGGUUCAUUUUCUCCUUCCUGUUUGUUUCAGGUUGAAGUUGGAUUCCUGUUUCCCCUUGCCCCUUGUACGUAACAAAGUAGCAAUUGUGCAGCUGGUAUGGAGUUAGUGAAUCUUAUCUGAACGGCUGAACCAGUCUUGUUAAUUUUAUCUCGGUGUUAUUAAGAGUCAUUUAUGCUCUUUCCAUUGCUUAUGAGACUCCUUUUAGCUUGAAUUCAAGUGUCUGAGUCCUGUUUAUUUCUCUAUUUAAAAUUUUAAUGGCACCAUUCCAUGACUACCUUCUGCAGUACUUCUCUCAAAUGUCUGUGUUGCUUGACGCCUGACGGUAUUAAUCAAAAUCUUGGGGCCUUAGAAAAGUUGGCGUGUCCCUAUGCAGAUCUCUCUUUUUUGCUCAUCAGCCCUUUGCCCUUUCUGCUGUGCUUAGUGUUUGCAGGUUCUGGAAGCAAUAUAAGUUUGCAAUGUUCGUCGGUUUGUGUUUUCUCAUCAGAUCUUGACCUUUCCACAUCGUGUAGAAGAUGCAGUUAUACUGUUAGAUUCGUGCCUGGAUGUGAAGGGAUCAACAGUCUUGCGAACCAUAGUAGGUUAUUAAAUAAGGCUGCUUGCAGUUCAAAAUGAAUAAAUUAAGAUAUAUGGUGCUCUCUGGAAUAAUGUGAGGUCAGCCGUAAGUUGAUGGUUCAAUUUUCUAAAAUUAACUGCCCUUUGUUCAUGAGAGGAUAAAUGUUGCUUGUGGAUCUCCUCGUACUUUUGUUGGUGGUCACUGUAGGGAGCAAUGGGGGUAAUCCUGAUUAGUUGUUCAACUAUUGCUCGUUGUAUUGUCAUUAUUCCUUUAUUCAUUCAUCUGUUAGUCAAAUCUGUGGUAAAUAAUCAGGGUUAAAUUCUCAUGAUUCUAUGGCAGCGCUAUUUGCUUAAGGUCAAGCCAUUUGUAUGCUAUCCUUACAUAUAUUUGACAGGCCAAACCUUUUGACAUAUUGUACAUGAAAUGUAAUUGAUUGUUAUUUGAAUGGAAGUGUUCCUGUGUUGUUUAUAUUGUCAUCCUUGUUUUUGAUUAAUUUUUCUAAUCUGCCAAGAAAAUCCGGGUUCUCUUUCUGUACUCUUUUUUGGUUUAUUUUGCUGGUUCAUGAUUUAUACUACUAGUAUUAGGAACAUCAAUAUUCUUUCAUCAGCUCGACGUAAGAUCUCAAAACACAAAGUGGUGUUGCACAACGCGUGCUAAACCAACUGCCAUGAUCUUAAAGAGUUAUUUUGGUAAUUUAGUUAUUUUCAGUCCUUCUGUACCAAAAGUGUAUUUGUGACUUAUUAAUAAUAUCUUACAUUGAUGGUGAAUUGUUUACAUCACUUUCGCAUGUCUGAAUUGCUUUGUAAUUUUGUAUCAGGGCCUACUUUUUCUGAGGGUGGGACUCAGGAGAUGGGGAAAUUGACCCACGGCUUACAUGAUUGUCUUAUCAGUACAGUACACCAAAAUUGGCCAAGACUUGGGACAGAGUAUAAGUGGUGAUUUUAGCUACAAAAAGUCAGGUUUUACAGGCUUGACAUUAACUGCUUCACCUACACCCCAUUGGGAAAUGGAUAAUGACUAAAUUCUCCAUUAUUUCUGUAUAUUGUUUGCCGGAAAGAGGAGUCGUUAUGCUGUUCGGGUACCGCGUGGUGGUGCCAAAAGCGUUUGAUAUCAUUGUGGUAGUAUUUUGAUCAAUCAGAACGGUGACGUUCGAAGAAAAAAUCACGUUUGUAAAAUGGUAGUAGUAGGUAUCUUCUUCAUAUUAUACAGGAUUUCUCCUC